rnacentral:lncRNA from 1 species
UUUAAAAUUAUAGUUCUUUGAAUAGUUUUGCAGUAUUUGCUCUAGGGAUUACUAUAAACAUACUUCACUUUUUACAGUUCACUUAGAAGUCAAUAUUUUACCAGUUCAAGUGGAAUGUAGAAAAAUCUUACCACUGUUUACAUUCCUUUACCCUCUCCCCUUUAUGUUAUAAUUUUCUUAUAAAUCAUAAGACUUGGCUGGGCACAGUGGCUCACCUGUAAUCCCAGGACUGGGAGGCCGAGGCGAGCAGAUUGCUUAAGUCCAGGAGUUCGAGACCAGCCUGGACAAUGUGGUGAAACCCCAACUCUACAAAAAAUACACAAAAUUAGCUAGGCGUGGUAGCAUGUUCCUGUAGUCCCAGCUACUCAGGAGGCUGAAGUGGGAGGAUUACUUGAGCCCAGGAGGCAGAGGUUGCAGUGAGCCAAGAUCACUCCACUCCACUCCAGCCUGAGUGACAGAGCUAGACACUGUGUCUCAAAAAAUAAAAAUAAAAAAUAAGACUCAUCAGAUAAUGUAUUUUUUCCUUACAACUAUCAUAGAUAUUUUUAAGAACCCAAGAGGAAAACAGUCUAUCACAUUUACC